rnacentral:misc_RNA from 1 species
CUGGGGCUCGCAGCCACUCUGGCUCUGCCGGGGCUGAUCUGGGCCGUCAUGAUCCGCACCGGAGCCGGGGACUAUCUCAAGGGGCUGAGGCCGCUGGAUCCGGGCCUGCUGUUGCUUCUUUUGGUGGCAAUCGGGGCGAUCAUUUCCCCGCCUGCGGUCAGCCUGAUCCUCGGAAACUCGCUGAGCGCUGUCUGGGCCUCGCCGGGGCUGUUUGUGUUCGUGCUGGUCGCGGUCUG